CUAAUACAUGCAAGUCGAGCGCGGGAAGCAAACUGAAUCCUUCGGGAGGACGUUUGUGGAACGAGCGGCGGACGGGUGAGUAACACGUGGGCAACCUGCCUGUAAGACUGGGAUAACUCCGGGAAACCGGGGCUAAUACCGGAUGAUCCUUCGUACCGCAUGGUACGGAGUUGAAAGAUGGUUUACGCUAUCACUUACAGAUGGGCCCGCGGCGCAUUAGCUAGUUGGUGGGGUAAUGGCCUACCAAAGCGACGAUGCGUAGCCGACCUGAGAGGGUGAUCGGCCACACUGGGACUGAGACACGGCCCAGACUCCUACGGGAGGCAGCAGUAGGGAAUCUUCCGCAAUGGACGCAAGUCUGACGGAGCAACGCCGCGUGAGUGAUGAAUGUCUUCGGAUUGUAAAACUCUGUUGUUAGGGAAGAACAAGUACCGUUCGAAUAGGUCGGUACCUUGACGGUACCUAACCAGAAAGCCCCGGCUAACUACGUGCCAGCAGCCGCGGUAAUACGUAGGGGGCAAGCGUUGUCCGGAAUUAUUGGGCGUAAAGGGCGCGCAGGCGGUCUUCUAAGUCUGAUGUGAAAGCCCACGGCUUAACCGUGGAAGGUCAUUGGAAACUGGGGGACUUGAGUGCAGAAGAGGAGAGUGGAAUUCCAUGUGUAGCGGUGAAAUGCGUAGAGAUAUGGAGGAACACCAGUGGCGAAGGCGA
rnacentral:rRNA from 1 species